GGUGUGACAGAAGUGGACAAUGCUGGUAGAUCCACUGAGUACAUACCUAGGGAUUUGCCCACAGAUGAGGGUCCUUCAGCCUCAGCACACAAUCUAAGCAGGUUGCCAGCAAAGGAGCUGUAUAAAGUCCAUCUUCAAAAACAAAUAAGAAAAAGUGACAUGGAGAUGGACCUUAUACAGCUUCAAAUGGAAGAGAAAAGGCUCCUCAUUAAAAAAGCAGCACUUGAAAUAGAAUUACUUGAGAAUCGCUUUAAGGU